rnacentral:rRNA from 1 species
UACGAACGCUGGCGGCGUGCUUAACACAUGCAAGUCGAACGGAAAGGCCCUGCUUUUGUGGGGUGCUCGAGUGGCGAACGGGUGAGUAACACGUGAGUAAACUGCACUUGACUUUGGGGUAACUUCAGGAAACUGGGGCUAAUACCGGAUAGGAGCUACUGCUGCAUGGUGGGGGUUGGAAAGUUUCGGCGGUUGGGGAUGGAUUAGCGGGUUAUCCGCUUGUUGGUGGGGUAGUGGCUUACCAGGGCUUUGACGGGUAGCCGGCCUGGGAGGGUGACCGGCCACAUUGGGACUGAGAUACGGCCCAGACUCCUACGGGAGGCAGCAGGGGGGAAUAUUGCACAAUGGGCGGAAGCCUGAGGCAGCAACGCCGCGUGCGGGAUGACGGCCUUCGGGUUGUAAACCGCUUUCGCCUGUGACGAAGCCUUAGUGACGGUAAUGGGUAAAGAAGCACCGGCUAACUACGUG